rnacentral:rRNA from 1 species
CCCUUAGAUGUUCUGGGCCGCACGCGCGCUACACUGAUCAGUGCAACAAGCAUCCGUCCUCGGCCGACAGGCCCGGGCAAUCUUUGAACGCUGAUCGUGAUGGGGAUAGACUUUUGCAAUUUUUGGUCUUCAACGAGGAAUUCCUAGUAAACGCAAGUCAUCAACUUGCAUUGAUUACGUCCCUGCCCUUUGUACACACCGCCCGUCGCACCUACCGAUUGAAUGGUCCGGUGAAGCCUCCGGAUUGGCGUGCACCCUCGGGUGCUGCCGAGAAGUUGGCUAAACCUUACCAUUUAGAGGAAGGUGAAGUCGUAACA